rnacentral:rRNA from 1 species
CCUACGGGAGGCUGCAGUGGGGAAUAUUGGACAAUGGGGGCAACCCUGAUCCAGCCAUGCCGCGUGUGUGAAGAAGGCCCUCGGGUUGUAAAGCACUUUCAGUGAGGAAGAACGCCUGGUGGUUAAUACCCAUCAGGAAAGACAUCACUCACAGAAGAAGCACCGGCUAACUCCGUGCCAGCUGCCGCGGUAAUACGGAGGGUGCGAGCGUUAAUCGGAAUUACUGGGCGUAAAGCGCGCGUAGGUGGCUUGAUAAGCCGGUUGUGAAAGCCCCGGGCUCAACCUGGGAACGGCAUCCGGAACUGUCAAGCUAGAGUGCAGGAGAGGAAGGUAGAAUUCCCGGUGUAGCGGUGAAAUGCGUAGAGAUCGGGAGGAAUACCAGUGGCGAAGGCGGCCUUCUGGACUGACACUGACACUGAGGUGCGAAAGCGUGGGUAGCAAACAGGAUUAGAUACCCUAGUAGUC